UGAAACCCCCAUCGGGCGCGUCCCCAGGUGGCGGAUAGGGGAACGCUGGAUAUAGAUGCCACAAACAUCCGAUCUUGUACAUUCUUCUUCUAAAUUAAUUAUUGGUGCUUGUUUUAAGUCAAUAAAUUGGGUUUGCUAGGGAUGCUUUCUUUUUUUAAUAUUUUACAAAAAUUUCUGGAUAGUCAAAAAGGAAUUUGUUAAAAGGAUGUUAGUAGGCAUGCCAGUCUAGAGGAUAAUUACCUCUCGCGGACCAACAGGCAUUUUUUUAAAGAAAAUUAACAAUUUCGUUAGCAUAUUUUUUGUAGGUAUUUAAUAAGCUCAAUAAAUCAAGUUUGUGACAAUUAAUAGGAAUAUACUUACUUAUAGUCUUUAAUGUUGCAUAUAAUAAAAGUAGUUUUUGAAUUUACUGUUUUAUAAAGUGUAAUUAACAAAAUACAAAUAAUAAUGAUGAAUCUAGAAUAUACAUACAUACGUUGAGACCAAAUGUAAAAUGUGUACUUUUCUACUAUUUAAUAGGUCUUUUUUUAAAUGUUUUGAUUAAUGUCUUAGAAAUUUUUCAUGUGGUUUUAAGUGUACUUUCAACGUAUGUAAAUGAAAGAGAGAAAGAAGAAAACUUAUUUACGUUAAUUUGAAAAAUCUGGAGGUUGGAGAUCACUUUUAUAAGACAAAAUAGAAAAAACUCAAUUCAUUUCAUUCCUGAAACAAUCCUUUUAGAGCAAAACUGGUAAGUGGAUGAUGUUCUCUUUAAAAUAGUCAGGCUGGACUUAUUUUUAAAAAGAUUUAAAGAGGUUCAUUAAACAUCGUAAUUUCUUUUGCAAUUACAAUAUUUUUGUUCAUAUUGAUUGUAUUUAAUAGCAUUGUAAAAUCAAUAAAUACUUUAUGUCAAACUUU